GACGAACGCUGGCGGCGUGCUUAACACAUGCAAGUCGAACGGAAAGGCCCUGCUUUUGUGGGGUGCUCGAGUGGCGAACGGGUGAGUAACACGUGAGUAACCUGCCCUUGACUUUGGGAUAACUUCAGGAAACUGGGGCUAAUACCGGAUAGGAGCUCCUGCUGCAUGGUGGGGGUUGGAAAGUUUCGGCGGUUGGGGAUGGACUCGCGGCUUAUCAGCUUGUUGGUGGGGUAGUGGCUUACCAAGGCUUUGACGGGUAGCCGGCCUGAGAGGGUGACCGGCCACAUUGGGACUGAGAUACGGCCCAGACUGCUACGGGAGGCAGCAGUGGGGGAUAUUGCACAAUGGGCGGAAGCCUGAUGCAGCAACGCCGCGUGCGGGAUGACGGCCUUCGGGUUGUAAACCGCUUUCGCCUGUGACGAAGCGUGAGUGACGGUAAUGGGUAAAGAAGCACCGGCUAACUACGUG
rnacentral:rRNA from 1 species